CUAGCCGUAAACGAUGGAUACUAGGCGUUGAGAGGAUCGACCCUCGCAGUGCCGUAGCUAACGCGUUAAGUAUCCCGCCUGGGGAGUACGCGCGCAAGCGUGAAACUCAAAGGAAUUGACGGGGGCCCGCACAAGCGGUGGAGUAUGUGGUUUAAUUCGAUGCAACGCGAAGAACCUUACCAGGGCUUGACAUGUCCGGAACCCUGCCCAAAGGUGGGGGUGCCUACGGGAGUCGGAACACAGGUGGUGC
rnacentral:rRNA from 1 species